AAACACCACCAAAGAUAAAAAUUUGGAUGUUGAGCCGCAUGUGAAAGUAGUAGAAAUUGAAUCACAAAGAGUACAUCCAAAAAUUUGUGGGCUUAAAAGCCUUGGAAAUACUUCAAGGUCUUCCUCAAAUAAUGAAAUUUUUCUUACUCCUCCAAGUGGUAGGAAAGCAUUUGAUAAAAGAGACAAG